rnacentral:rRNA from 1 species
CGAAUGCUGACAUAAGUAACGAUAAAGCGGGUGAAAAGCCCGCUCGCCGGAAGACCAAGGGUUCCUGUCCAACGUUAAUCGGGGCAGGGUGAGUCGACCCCUAAGGCGAGGCCGAAAGGCGUAGUCGAUGGGAAACAGGUUAAUAUUCCUGUACUUGGUGUUACUGCGAAGGGGGGACGGAGAAGGCUAUGUUGGCCGGGCGACGGUUGUCCCGGUUUAAGCGUGUAGGCUGGUUUUCCAGGCAAAUCCGGAAAAUCAAGGCUGAGGCGUGAUGACGAGGCACUACGGUGCUGAAGCAACAAAUGCCCUGCUUCCAGGAAAAGCCUCUAAGCAUCAGGUAACAUCAAAUCGUACCCCAAACCGACACAGGUGGUCAGGUAGAGAAUACCAAGGCGCUUGAGAGAACUCGGGUGAAGGAACUAGGCAAAAUGGUGCCGUAACUUCGGGAGAAGGCACGCUGAUAUGUAGGUGAAGUCCCUCGCGGAUGGAGCUGA